rnacentral:rRNA from 1 species
AACGAACGCUGGCGGCAGGCCUAACACAUGCAAGUCGAGCGCCCCGCAAGGGGAGCGGCGGACGGGUGAGUAACGCGUGGGAACGUACCCUUUGCUACGGAAUAGCCUCGGGAAACUGGGAGUAAUACCGUAUGUGCCCUUCGGGGGAAAGAUUUAUCGGCAAAGGAUCGGCCCGCGUUGGAUUAGGUAGUUGGUGGGGUAAUGGCCUACCAAGCCGACGAUCCAUAGCUGGUUUGAGAGGAUGAUCAGCCACACUGGGACUGAGACACGGCCCAGACUCCUACGGGAGGCAGCAGUGGGGAAUCUUAGACAAUGGGCGCAAGCCCGAUCUAGCCAUGCCGCGUGAGCGAUGAAGGCCUUAGGGUUGUAAAGCUCUUUCAGUGGGGAAGAUAAUGACUGUACCCACAGAAGAAGCCCCGGCUAACUCCGUG